UCCCCGUAUCAGCAUAAAUUAGGACUUGUCAAACAGGUAGGACAUAGCAACAGAAGAUAUUUUAUGAGCAUAAAGGUAACUGUUUCCACUGUCCCACUCCAUAGCGAAAGAAAAUAAUAGUAAUAAUGACAAGCAUGGCAUUCCCCCCCCCCCCCCUUUAUUUUGGUAGGCUCUCAGUCGCCUUUUCAUUCUUUAGGUAUCCAAGAUAACUUCACAGAAGACGGAGACUAACGUGACAGAGAAAGGAGCUUAGAAACGGGACCCUGUCAGGCAGGGACAGCAGCAUGUGCCGCGUCAGCCCUUCCCUGCCCCGCCCGCACCUGCGGCGGCCACGCCAGGGGCACCGCUGCGACCCCACACCGGGCCACCUCCCCGCCCGUUUCUAAGCCAAACUCGGCUGGGGAAGUAAACAAGUAAAACAAAAGGAAGGAGAGGGGAAAAGGGGAAAGGAGCCUGGCCUGGGGCCGCGGCGGCCGGGGAGGGGUCGGGUCGGGCGGCAGCGCCGGUUGCCCGGGCACCAUCUUGGGGGCGGCCGGGGGUGAGUGAGGACGCGGCCCCGCAGCGCCGCCGGGGGCCGGCCCGGCGCUUUACCUGCUCUGCCAGCCCUGCAGGAGGCUCAACUCUUCUUCUGAUGACCACAGUGUUCAGAAGACAUUGGAUGAACAAGGCAUGCUCCUUCAGGAAGCUCAGAUCCUGCUCGCUCAGGAUAAGGAUUGUCCUUCAUUUGUCCUCGUUGUGUUACAAUGGCAGCCCAAAGCUGUGGAAACAAUACGCUUUAAUGAGAAUUUGCUGAAAGAUAAUUCUGUCAGGAAAAGAAGCCGCCUUACACAUGAAUAGAGAUACCUCUCAUACCCUUCUAAACAAUAAAGCUCAAGUAACAAUGGUGCACUCGUCAGGGAGUUUCUGAAAUAUAAGGGAUAACAGGCUGUAAGUAUAUCCCAUGAGAAUUUUGCAAAAUCAUAAAACACGUUUCCCGCUGCUAGAAGGAUUGCUGUGAUGUGAUAACAUAGGAAGUCCUCUUAGAAGUUAUAAACUAGUUAAUAGAUGGCAAAUAAAACGUGAAUAAAUGGUCACUUUUCAAAUAGAGGGUAACCACUAAGAGUUGAAUCUCUGUUAUUCCGUAUCUUAAAUCAGAGUUAAAACUAGAAUCAAAUGCAAAAAAAUAGCAGAAGGAUCUAACAGUAGUGACUAAAUCACUGAUAACAUGGCAACUGAAAUUUAAUGUUGGUAGAAAUCAAAGUAAAGCACAUGUGGAGAAAAUAGUUUUUGCUAUGCAUGCAUGAUGAUCUAUAAAUUAGCUAUAGCCUCUCAGGCAAGAGAUCUUGUAGACAUUUUAAAUAGUCCUCUGAAAACCCCAUCUCAGUGUUCAAGGGUAAUGAAACAAACAGCUGUGAUGAGCUCGUUAGGAAAGACAGAAAUAACAGCUUGCCACUAUAUAAAUCCGUAGUACAGCCAGUAUCUAUGUACUCUGCAUUUAUAAUAUUCCUUCAAAAAGGACAGAGUAAAAAGAGAAAAGGUGUAAAUGUCAGCUUUUUUAUGAGAGAGCUCACUGAGCAGGGGUUUCAUUUGAAAAAGAGACAACCGAUGUACAAAAUGAUAUUCAGAUUAAUAGGAGUGAUUCUUCACAGUUUCUCAUGAAACAAGAACUAUGGGGGAACUGGUUUAAAACAAGAACAAGAAACUACUUUCUCACACGGCUUAUACUCAUAAAGAUCAUUGUUAUGAGAUGGUUUUGGAUGCCAAACAUCUAGAAAGAUUAAAAAAGCAAUUGUUUUUGAAGAACCUUUAAACAAGGUUGACCAAAGUGUUUUGGAUGUAUUUGAAGUUCAGAAAGGCUCUAAAUUUCUGACUCCUUUAAGACUAUUUAUGUUAUAGUAAAUAGGUGAAAUAAUCCCUGCCCUGUUCUUUCUCUAGAUCUUUAUCUAAACACAUACUCAUGGAAGGAAUAAAGUACUGGACUAGAGAGACCUUUAGUUUAAUCUAUGGUAUGGCUUUUCAUAUAAAUAUGAAUAUAUAAAUAUGUAAAUAUGAAGGAAUACUAAGGAUUCCUUCUUCUUGGUUAACCAAAGGUCCUUUCAAAGCAAACAUUUGCACUGUAUGCAGCUUUUAUAUGGUAUAGAUGGCAUCAUAUUGUAUAGAAUGUGUCACUCUUCUCAUUCCUUUUCCCUUCCCAGUUUGUACAUAUCAUUGCAACCUAACAGAGCUGGACAACCUUUCAUAGCAAUUUUGGUAUCAGUGAGCCCCUAACCCCAUUUAUUUGAAGUUUAUAAUGUUCUUCAAAAUGACUGAACCUGUAUUUAUUUUACUAGCUAAUUGUCUGUCCCAGUAGAGUUAGACUUCAGGGUAAUACACACUGACUUGGUCUGAUGCAAUAUUGCAUGAUGUAUGCUUUGUCCCAAGUAUUCUUAAUUAGCUAUUUAUUAAUGCAACCUGCCUAAUGAAGGUUCACACUGUUUCCAAGGUAACACAGCUGCUAUGUUACAGUCCUUUAGAAUGUUACUUUCUCUCUAUGACCAAACCAAAAUUUUGCUUCUUUCAUUAAGAACCCAAAAGAAUCAAAAUAACUCAUUAAUUAUCCCACCUUUUAGAAAGCAAAAUAUCUGCUAAGAUAACAAAUCCAGUACUGUUUGCCUUUGUCAGGAAACAGAGGCAUUUCUCCAUCCUAUGUGAAGCUACACAACUUUAGCUUCUAGAACAAGGUCAGCUCUUAAUCCAUUUGCUAAUUUAUGUUUCCUGGACAUGUUGGGUUGGGUUUCUCUACCUUUUUAACACCCUCCUAGCAAACAGUUUUCCUGAAGGACUUUGCAAUUUCUUUUUACCUCCUCCCACCAUCAGAUUUCCACUCAACUUCUCACCAUCAUAAUCCUGUGGAGGAAUUUAGCUAUAUGGUCUACAGAAACUACUUCUGCCCAGGCUACAGUCAGACAGUGAGCAUAUUACAUGGAAAUACCCCAAGGCUUGCUCAGUUUUACCAUCUCCUCCUUCUUACCCUCCUCCUGAGACACUGCUUUAUUUCUCAUGGGCUUUGGAGAUUAAAUCCAUCUGUCACUAAACUUAAGGCAAUACUUAGGGCAAAAACAUACCACUGUGCACUUCUAUCACCACUGUCUAUAGAUGACAGCACUGGAAUGACUCUUAAAUGAUCCCUAAAGUUCAGCUCAUGUCACAGUGAUGCCACCUGCACCAAGCCUGCUCUUAAUAGUGCUUCCCUAAUGGUCUACAGCAAGAGAGUGAAUGCAGCAGGUGGAACAAUGUGCAGCAGCAGCAUGUCCUCCAGUACUUCCUUAGAUCCAGUGCUGUAGAUUGCUGAACUUGAAAGGUUAAAAGAGGCAGUGACUCCUCUAAUCUGGCCUUUUUAAUAACUCAGUACAAGAAUUGUAAUGUUCUGUCUUAUAUGAUUGUUUCACUUAGAUUUAACCAGCACAUCGUCCAUGAGUAACACACUUCUGACCUGAGAAUUUUGAGAACACAGAGAAACCGCCACUAACUGCAGUCUGCCAACUUUAGGAUUAGCUUUGCUGAACCAGUAUGCAUUGUAUCCUCCCUCCCUGGUGCUCGUAAGCCUGCAAUGUAUGAUAAACAUGCUGCAUUGCCACACUUCA